rnacentral:rRNA from 1 species
UACGGGGGGGCGAAGCGUUGUUCGGAAUUACUGGGCGUAAAGGGCUCGUAGGCGGCCAACUAAGUCAGACGUGAAAUCCCUCGGCUUAACCGGGGAACUGCGUCUGAUACUGGAUGGCUUGAGUUUGGGAGAGGGAUGCGGAAUUCCAGGUGUAGCGGUGAAAUGCGUAGAUAUCUGGAGGAACACCGGUGGCGAAGGCGGCAUCCUGGACCAACACUGACGCUGAGUGAGCGAAAGCCAGGGGAGCAAACGGG